AUGAAGAACGUAGCGAAAUGCGAUACUUGGUGUGAAUUGCAGAAUCCCGUGAACCAUCGAGUUUUUGAACGCAAGUUGCGCCCGGAGCCGUGAGGCCGAGGGCACGCC
rnacentral:rRNA from 1 species